rnacentral:misc_RNA from 1 species
UCCGGUUUGUCACCGGCAGUCUCGCAUGAGUCCCCAACUAAAUGCUGGCAGCAUACGACGGGGGUCGCGCUCGUUGCGGGACUUAACCCAACACCUCACGGCACGAGCUGACGACAGCCAUGCAGCAUCUGUGCACGCUCCCUCGCGGGUCCCUUGGCUUACACCUCAGUACCACGUGCAUGUCAAGCCGAGGUAAGGUUCUGCGCGUUGCAUCGAAUUAAACCACAUGCUCCACCGCUUGUGCGGGCCUCCGUCAAUUCCUUUGAGUUUCAGCCUUGCGGCCGUACUCCCCAGGCGGGGCACUUACUGCGUUAGCGACGGCACCGGGAGGGUCGCUCCCCCCGACGCCUAGUGCCCAUCGUUUACGGCGUGGACUAC